CACACUAAAAGUGGUCCUGUAUCCUGACCAGGAGGAAAUAAUUGUUAACUGCACAGAACAAAACAGCUGUUCCAUUGCAACAGUUCCAAUUAGAAGUGAUCAGCAAGAAGCUGUGAGAAGAUAUCGAAAAGGAAUCCAAGUAGGAGAAGAGAGAAAUAACUUCUCUACUACAACAUGCCCAUGUUUGUGCAGUGCUUAUCAAAUGAAUCAUCUGAACCAUCACUGAUAUCAUCUACCUGGACCUCUUCCCUUUCUGUGAUAUGAAGAACUUCAGCAAUGAGAGCCAAUGUAUGGAAAUGUUUCCUUCCAUUUUUUUCUGUUUCAAAGAAGAUUUUGUGUGGAUCUGAAAUCUGUAUACUGCAAAGGGGAUAAUGAUUUUUGGAGGUCUGGACAAGACAACCCACGAGGAGUGCGAAUAAAGCGAUCCAUGUUGGCUGUUCCACUGCUGGAUAACCCCCUGUCAUUGACCCUUCUGCUCAACAGUCUCCACCUGCAGAUCUGUAAAAUAACUGUGUCUAUACUGAAUGGCUGAUUCAAGUCCUCACAGCAGGCGUGGAACGUGAUUACGAACUCUUAAAAGUAAAUCAUCAUGCACUUGUGUAUUAUAUGGACACAGUUGUUGAAUAUUUAUGGAGCAUAACUUGAACCUGUUGUUGAGAAACUCCAAUAUAUAAAUGUCUAGAAGAUAGUAAAAGAAAAAUGGCCAUCUCAGACAAAGGUCCCUCAAUAACAAAAACUUUAGUUUUUUUCUUCUACAAAAAGGGUGACUGUGUUCCAGCUCUUACAGCUGUAGACAACAUAAGAAAUAGUCAGGCAGACCACUGUAUAGAAUGAAAUCAUAGGCCACAAAAAUUUCUUAUGUUUUAUAUCCUGAGGGUAACAGUGUAAACACAGUAAUGCGUUGCAAUUAUGCAAUGCCUUUGAGGUGAGGAACCCAAAAUGUUUUGUAGAGGUGGGUAAAAACUAAGUUUUUGAAAGACUUACAAACAGCAGUGGGGAGCCUUCCCCACUUUUGUGCAAAAAAUUCAUUAUUUUCUCUAUGUCUCUCUGACUGAAAUUACAAAGCAAAAGCAAAACCAAAACAAACAAAAACCAAAACAAAAAACAAAACAAACAAAAAAAGAAACAAACCCAAAACAAAAACCCACCUGUUUGGGUCAAUAGAAAAUUAAUUCCUUAUUUUCUUAGUGAAGAUGAAGGUCACAUAUAAAAUAUUUCAUUUUAUUUUGCAUGUUGAAUUCCUUUUCUAAUAUGUCCUUUAUUCAAAAUAAGUUUUAAAGCAAGAUAUUUACAUGACAUGAUGUUUGACUUCCAGUUUUUGCCAUUUUAAUCUCAUUUUGAACUUUUUUCAACUCUUUUCAAUCUUUGAACUUGAUAGAAAUUAAUUAAAUAUUUCUGUUCUUCUCCUUUCCAAUUAAUGUAACUCUGUUCCACUCUCCUCCCAUUUAUGCUAUUAAUAUCCAUACAUUCUAAAUUUACACCAGUAACUCGUCCCACUGUGUAUUGAUUGAUGUAAUAAUUCAAUCCAAAAGCAGUGUCAUGUUGUCUGAACUACACAUAAUAUCACUGCAAACCAAGAAAAGCUUGCAGGGAAUGGAUGGAAUUUCAAGGCAAAUAGCACCUCUAGUUAUUAAGAGGCUGAGUAAUAUGGAUAGGAAAAGCUAUCCAUAUUGGGAAUCAUUCUGAAGGUCAAAUGAAGCAUUUGAAAUAAACUUUGUUAAUUUUCUUUAAGUCCAAGACAAUUAAGUUAAGAUUUCAGAGGGAAAAAUGAAAUAUGAAAAAUUUAACUGAAGUGUGCUUCAU